rnacentral:rRNA from 1 species
GAUGAACGCUGGCGGCGUGCCUAAUACAUGCAAGUCGAGCGAACAGACGAGGAGCUUGCUCCUCUGACGUUAGCGGCGGACGGGUGAGUAACACGUGGAUAACCUACCUAUAAUACUGGGAUAACUUCGGGAAACCGGUGCUAAUACCGGAUAAUAUAUUGAACCGCAUGGUUCAAUAGUGAAAGACGGUUUUGCUGUCACUUAUAGAUGGAUCCGCGCCGCAUUAGCUAGUUGGUAAGGUAACGGCUUACCAAGGCAACGAUGCGUAGCCGACCUGAGAGGGUGAUCGGCCACACUGGAACUGAGACACGGUCCAGACUCCUACGGGAGGCAGCAGUAGGGAAUCUUCCGCAAUGGGCGAAAGCCUGACGGAGCAACGCCGCGUGAGUGAUGAAGGUCUUCGGAUCGUAAAACUCUGUUAUUAGGGAAGAACAAAUGUGUAAGUAACUAUGCACGUCUUGACGGUACCUAAUCAGAAAGCCACGGCUAACUACGUG